rnacentral:rRNA from 1 species
ACCGGAUAGGACGAAAGUUUAAAGGUGCUUCGGCACCACUGAUGGAUGAGCCUGCGGCGCAUUAGCUAGUUGGUAGGGUAAAGGCCUACCAAGGCGACGAUGCGUAGCCGACCUGAGAGGGUGAACGGCCACACUGGGACUGAGACACGGCCCAGACUCCUACGGGAGGCAGCAGUAGGGAAUCUUCGGCAAUGGGCGAAAGCCUGACCGAGCAACGCCGCGUGAAUGAUGAAGGCCUUCGGGUUGUAAAAUUCUGUUAUAAGGGAAGAAUGGCUCUAGUAGGAAAUGGCUAGAGUGUGACGGUACCUUAUGAGAAAGCCACGGCUAACUACGUGCCAGCAGCCGCGGUAAUACGUAGGUGGCGAGCGUUAUCCGGAAUUAUUGGGCGUAAAGAGCGCGCAGGUGGUUGAUUAAGUCUGAUGUGAAAGCCCACGGCUUAACCGUGGAGGGUCAUUGGAAACUGGUCAACUUGAGUGCAG